rnacentral:rRNA from 1 species
CACGUAGGGCGCAAGCGUUGUCCGGAAUCACUGGGCUUAAAGCGUGUGUAGGCGGAUCGGUAAGUCCCUUGUGAAAUCCCACGGCUUAACCGUGGAACUGCUUGGUAUACUGCCAGUCUUGAGCCAUCUAGGGGCUACCGGAACAAAUGGUGGAGCGGUGAAAUGCGUAGAUAUCAUGUGGAACGCCAAUGGUGAAGACAGGUAUCUGGGGAUGUGCUGACGCUGAGACACGAAAGCCAGGGGAGCAAACGGG